rnacentral:rRNA from 1 species
UACGUAGGGUGCGAGCGUUAAUCGGAAUUACUGGGCGUAAAGCGUGCGCAGGCGGUUUUGUAAGUCAGAUGUGAAAUCCCCGGGCUUAACCUGGGAACUGCGUUUGAAACUACAGGGCUAGAGUGUGGCAGAGGGGGGUGGAAUUCCACGUGUAGCAGUGAAAUGCGUAGAGAUGUGGAGGAACACCGAUGGCGAAGGCAGCCCCCUGGGUUAACACUGACGCUCAGGCACGAAAGCGUGGGGAGCAAACAGG